rnacentral:rRNA from 1 species
GUCUAUGGCCAUGCUAUCCUGAACAAGCCCCAUCCUGCCUGAUCUAGGAAGCUAAGCAGAGUUGGGCCUGGUUGUAUUUGAAUGGGAGACCACCUAGGAAGACCAGGUGCUGUAGGCA